rnacentral:rRNA from 1 species
UACGAAGGGUGCAAGCGUUACUCGGAAUUACUGGGCGUAAAGCGUGCGCAGGCGGUCUUUUAAGUCAGAUGUGAAAUCCCCGGGCUCAACCUGGGAACUGCAUUUGUGACUGUAGAGCUGGAGUGCGGCAGAGGGGGAUGGAAUUCCGCGUGUAGCAGUGAAAUGCGUAGAUAUGCGGAGGAACACCGAUGGCGAAGGCAAUCCCCUGGGCCUGCACUGACGCUCAUGCACGAAAGCGUGGGGAGCAAACAGG